UACGAAGGGGGCUAGCGUUGCUCGGAAUCACUGGGCGUAAAGGGUGCGUAGGCGGGUCUUUAAGUCAGGGGUGAAAUCCUGGAGCUCAACUCCAGAACUGCCUUUGAUACUGAGGAUCUUGAGUUCGGGAGAGGUGAGUGGAACUGCGAGUGUAGAGGUGAAAUUCGUAGAUAUUCGCAAGAACACCAGUUGCGAAGGCGGCUCACUGGCCCGAUACUGACGCUGAGGCACGAAAGCGUGGGGAGCAAACAGG
rnacentral:rRNA from 1 species